GAUACUGAAGCAUGCUUUCAGGGGAGGAUGGGACUGACUGAGGAUGACCCAUGUAUGUUUGUUCUCCCUGUUGUGAAGGUUUGGAGUCCCUGGGUGGCAUGGUGCCCACCUGGUGUAGGAUAGGAGUAGCUGAGAGGACCAGAUGGUUUAUAAUAAUGCUUUGCUCUGCUUUACUCUGCUUUCCAUGACCAAAGUUUUAUCCUACAUCUUACACGUCAAUAAACAAUAAAGUCU